AUGUUGCAUGAGGAGAGAAGGUUAGCAUCCCUUGACAAGGAUAGAAGAGGGGGCCUGUGCAGCACACAUGUAGUUACAACACACUGCCACCUACUUGAUGGCAUCUAAAUGUGGUUUUGA
ensembl:snRNA